GACGAACGCUGGCGGCGUGCUUAACACAUGCAAGUCGAACGGAAAGGCCCCUUUGGGGGUCCUCGAGUGGCGAACGGGUGAGUAACACGUGAGUAACCUGCCCUUGACUUCGGGAUAACUUCAGGAAACUGGGGCUAAUACCGGAUAGGAAUCCUUGCUGCAUGGUGGGGGUUGGAAAGCUUCGGCGGUUUUGGAUGGACUCGCGGCUUAUCAGCUUGUUGGUGGGGUAGUGGCUUACCAAGGCUUUGACGGGUAGCCGGCCUGAGAGGGCGACCGGCCACAUUGGGCCGGGGAGAGGGCCCAGACCCCGGCGGGGGGCAGAGGGGGGGAAGUUGGAAGAAGGGGGGGAGGCCGGAUGCCGAAGCCCGGGGGGGGGGAGGAGGGCUUGGGGGUUGAAAACGGCUUACGGCGGGGGAGAAGUUGGGGGGGACGGUCCGGGAAAAAGAAACCCCGGCAAACUACGGC
rnacentral:rRNA from 1 species